rnacentral:rRNA from 1 species
UGAAGAUAGUAUUCUGGUGCUGGCCGUUGUCUAUGUUCCUUGGAACAGGACGUCACAGAGGGUGAGAAUCCCGUCUGGCGGGGUGUCCAGUGCUUUGUAGAUCUCUAUCGACGAGUCGAGUUGUUUGGGAAUGCAGCUCUAAGUGGGUGGUAAAUUCCAUCUAAAGCUAAAUAUUGGCGAGAGACCGAUAGCGAACAAGUACAGUGAUGGAAAGAUGAAAAGA